GACGAACGCUGGCGGCGUGCCUAAUACAUGCAAGUCGAACGCACUCUCGUUUAGAUUGAAGGAGCUUGCUCCUGAUUGAUAAACAUUUGAGUGAGUGGCGGACGGGUGAGUAACACGUGGGUAACCUGCCCUAAAGUGGGGGAUAACAUUUGGAAACAGAUGCUAAUACCGCAUAAAACCUAACACCGCAUGGUGUAGGGUUGAAAGAUGGUUUCGGCUAUCACUUUAGGAUGGACCCGCGGUGCAUUAGUUAGUUGGUGAGGUAAAGGCUCACCAAGACCGUGACGCAUAGCCGACCUGAGAGGGUAAUCGGCCACACUGGGACUGAGACACGGCCCAGACUCCUACGGGAGGCAGCAGUAGGGAAUCUUCCACAAUGGACGAAAGUCUGAUGGAGCAACGCCGCGUGAGUGAAGAAGGUUUUCGGAUCGUAAAACUCUGUUGUUGGAGAAGAAUGUAUCUGAUAGUAACUGAUCAGGUAGUGACGGUAUCCAACCAGAAAGCCACGGCUAAC
rnacentral:rRNA from 1 species